GAUAAACGCUGGCGGCGUGCCUAAUACAUGCAAGUCGAGCGAACGGACGAGAAGCUUGCUUCUCUGAUGUUAGCGGCGGACGGGUGAGUAACACGUGGAUAACCUACCUAUAAGACUGGGAUAACUUCGGGAAACCGGAGCUAAUACCGGAUAAUAUUUUGAACCGCAUGGUUCAAAAGUGAAAGACGGUCUUGCUGUCACUUAUAGAUGGAUCCGCGCUGCAUUAGCUAGUUGGUAAGGUAACGGCUUACCAAGGCAACGAUGCAUAGCCGACCUGAGAGGGUGAUCGGCCACACUGGAACUGAGACACGGUCCAGACUCCUACGGGAGGCAGCAGUAGGGAAUCUUCCGCAAUGGGCGAAAGCCUGACGGAGCAACGCCGCGUGAGUGAUGAAGGUCUUCGGAUCGUAAAACUCUGUUAUUAGGGAAGAACAUAUGUAUAAGUAACUGUGCACAUCUUGACGGUACCUAAUCAGAAAGCCACGGCUAACUACGUGCCAGCAGCCGCGGUAAUACGUAGGUGGCAAGCGUUAUCCGGAAUUAUUGGGCAUAAAGCGCGCGUAGGCGGUUUUUUAAGUCUGAUGUGAAAGCCCACGGCUCAACCGUGGAGGGUCAUUGGAAACUGGAAAACUUGAGUGCAGAAGAGGAAAGUGGAAUUCCAUGUGUAGCGGUGAAAUGCGCAGAGAUAUGGAGGAACACCAGUGGCGAAGGCGACUUUCUGGUCUGUAACUGACGCUGAUGUGCGAAAGCGUGGGGAUCAAACAGGAUUAGAUACCCUGGUAGUCCACGCCGUAAACGAUGAGUGCUAAGUGUUAGGGGGUUUCCGCCCCUUAGUGCUGCAGCUAACGCAUUAAGCACUCCGCCUGGGGAGUACGACCGCAAGGUUGAAACUCAAAGGAAUUGACGGGGACCCGCACAAGCGGUGGAGCAUGUGGUUUAAUUCGAAGCAACGCGAAGAACCUUACCAAAUCUUGACAUCCUUUGACAACUCUAGAGAUAGAGCCUUCCCCUUCGGGGGACAAAGUGACAGGUGGUGCAUGGUUGUCGUCAGCUCGUGUCGUGAGAUGUUGGGUUAAGUCCCGCAACGAGCGCAACCCUUAAGCUUAGUUGCCAUCAUUAAGUUGGGCACUCUAAGUUGACUGCCGGUGACAAACCGGAGGAAGGUGGGGAUGACGUCAAAUCAUCAUGCCCCUUAUGAUUUGGGCUACACACGUGCUACAAUGGACAAUGCAAAGGGCAGCGAAACCGCGAGGUCAAGCAAAUCCCAUAAAGUUGUUCUCAGUUCGGAUUGUAGUCUGCAACUCGACUACAUGAAGCUGGAAUCGCUAGUAAUCGUAGAUCAGCAUGCUACGGUGAAUACGUUCCCGGGUCU
rnacentral:rRNA from 1 species